AACAAGAUUUGAGUCACGGGAUUUUAUUGAUAGCGAUCACGUCAUGGAGCUCGAUCCAGUCACCGCCAUCUAGCGGUCGAAAUACGUUAUAUUUAUUAUUGAGUUUCGCUGGCUCUUCCACGACCGAAUUGUAGGCGGACGACUUUGCCCUUCGUUCAAUCUGUAAACUUCGCUUUUCCGCAGACGCUCAACUUCGAACGACCGCUUUACCCAUUAUUCUCGUAACGUCAGUGGUAGCUUGGCUAUUACAUUUGGCAUGAUCUCCAUCGAAUCUACGCUUGAUGAAUGUUUCAGGUCUUGAAGCGACGUACAGCAACAGUCCAUCAGUACCGAUAGAUUCUUUAAACCGACGGGGUCGCGCUUAUUUGCUAUAGGAGCGUUUUUUAGACGUUCUUCGCAGUAGCGGGCGAUCUCAUGUGGUUGACCAUAUUCUUCGUACAGCAGUCCUCAUGCGCUACGAUAUCCAACAUCGGGCGGUUUCGAGGUGAGGUGACGUAAUCUAGCUCGUAUACGUGGUGUUCACAGUGCUGUAGUACUGUAGUAUAAGUAGACGAGUUUGAGUUCGUUGCCUUCGGUCUUUUUAUUGAUAUGAGUUUCAAACUGUCUCCGGAAGGUCCCGUAGUUCAUUGGGUUACCGUCAAACUUGUCUAUUACAAGGCGCCGCAGGAAUCGUUUACCAACAUUAGUUAGGCCUACUCUGUUUCGUCUUUCGGGUGCGUGGUUAGUCGGGAUGAAUUCGGUUUCACGGAAGGCGGUAUAUAUACAAGAAUAAGGACCCGAUCGGGUUGGCGGGUAUCUUCGUGUGGGAGGAAACGUGGAUAGCGGUCAGUGUACCGAUCCUCGUUGGGAGCGACAAGUAAACAUUUUUCAUGUUUAACGGGAGUGGCGGAGUUCUGGCGGGGGGUUUCUCUUAAAUUUGCGAACUGCGGCGACGGGCCAGUUCUAAUUCUUUUUGCAUUUUUGUGAAAGCUAGUUCUGCUUCGCCUUUCUCUUCGCAGGCUUGACGCUUGGCUGUUUCCUAUAGCUUAACGGACUUGCCGCUUGGCCCGCAGUCUGGCACGUUGUCGGGUUUCAUGUAUAGCCUUUCUUGUGCUUGCUCCUGGGACUAAUAACACGCUUAUGACGUUAUGCGUGUUAACUUUGUUUUUGCGAGUAAAUAUUCGAGUACUUACGCGCAUAAAAGUGACCAUGCAAAAAAGGCUUAACAAGUCCCCCGAUGUACUUAAAACGCAAGUGUUAUAAACAUUGAUUGAACGAUUUUAUACAGUAUGGUUUAUAGGACUAAGCUGAUUUAUGAUUAUUAAAUCAGUCAUUAAAUAAUGUAUAAGGUACAUUGUAGAACUAGCGCUUUUAAACAAACAGGAAAAUAAUUGUUAAACAAAACAGAAAAGUAAAUUAAAUCUUUUU